UCUGAAGCAAUCCUACAGCGGGUAUUGUCUGCAUAAUACCGUCAUUUAUAUUAAUUCUUGGGCUUUAAUCUGGUUCAGUGAUCACAUGCCAUUGUUGUGUUGAUGUUAUUUUGCUACCAUUUUAGUAUUAAUGCCAUUUUGGGGCUCCAUGCUAAGGUUGUCAUACUGUCUUUUUACCUAGAGUCAACGGUGGGUGCAUAAACUUGGAAUGUAAAGCCUAUUAUGAAAUUGAUAAGAUUUUACAAACUAUGUAAAAUAGUCUUCAUGAAAUAUAGUUGUACGUUUUAAAGUCAUGAAAUGGUCUUAUUAUUAACAAUAAAAUUCAAAAGCAAAUGCUAAGAUGGGAGAAAUCAUCUGGAAGAUUGCAUUCCUUUUGCUUGAACUUACUUUAACUUGAAGGCUGUGUUUG
rnacentral:misc_RNA from 1 species